GGAUGUGAGGGUGAUCUGGCUGUGACAUGUCACCCCACUGAUCGCCAGGGUUGAUUCGGCUGAUCUGGCUGGCUAGGUGGGUGUCCCCUUCCUCUCUCACUGCUCCAUGUGCAUCCCUCCCAAAGCUGCGUGCUCGGUCGAAGAGCGAGGCCUUCCCCUUAUAGAGACAGACUGGUCUUCAGUAGAGGGUAUUACGAGUAGCUGCAUUCCCCUGCUAGAACCUCUAAACAAGCUCUCAAGGUCCAAGGGGCAGGGUUGAGUGGAACAGGGUUUUUGUGGCGGACUUUUGAGCUGGGAUCUGAGCAAGCUUCCUAG
rfam:Erinaceus europaeus unplaced genomic scaffold scaffold00003, whole genome shotgun sequence